UCAAGUCCCAGGAGCAGGGACAUAAUGCAUAUGGGAUAUAAUGUCUGUUCAGAAUCUGAUUUAUUCCAAUAGAUCCUUUGAUUGACACUGCCCUUUGCAAGGAUGCACAUGCCAUCAAACUCAUAUUGGCAUGUUGGAGGGUCAUCAGCUCCUACGCCACCUGAUGCCCAAAUUACUCUUGGCAUGGAGAUCCAUGGCUUUCUACAGUGAGCACCAGCACCUUUGAGUAGCAAUGCUCAACGGGUUGCACCUAAAAGUCCCUGUCAGGAUGAGACCUCUACUGCGCUAGGUGCUGUACAAACACAGAACUAAAAGAUGGUCCCUAUCCCAAGCGUUUACAGUCUAAGUACAAUCGUCACACAAACAGCCAUAUUCAUAUGUGAAUAAGAGUACUCAUGGGGAAAUACAGUUUCCUCCAUUGUGAUUGCCAAGCACCCUGCAUCUGUGUGUGUAGGUUGGCAGGGGAUCUGCAUUGUAGAUAAAUGGAAUACACUUGCAUACCUUCCCUAUCUCUUCCCUGUCCCUCCACACUGAUAUGUGAGGUAGCUUCAGGAGCUCACUUUCACAGUGCAUGACUGUUGAAGAAUCCCUUCCAUUCCCUUUCCUAUAUCUUCAGCCUUUCUGCACACUAGCUCCACUGCCUUCCAGACCAUAGGAAGCCAUAAAUGGAUGGGGCUGCACAUUAUAAAUAUCUAGGAAAAAUGACAUUAACAGUUACAUUGUCCAUCUAAAUAUUAUGCUAUGGGAAUCAGAGAACCACUGCAGUGAGUACAGGACCUAUGAGCUUCUCUCUAUAGCACUGCUAUGGGUACCCGCAUGUCCCCACAGUAUGCCAACAUUUUUAUGGCUGACUUAGAACAACGCUUCCUCAGCUCUUGUCCCCUAACGCCCCUAUUCUACUUGUGCUACCUUGAUAACAUCUUCAUCAUCUGGACCCAUGGAAAAGAAGCCCUUGAGGAAUUCCACCAGGAUUUCAACAAUUUCCAUCCUACCAUCAACCUCAGCCUGGACCAGUCGACACAAGAGAUCCACUUCCUGGACACUACAGUGCAAAUAAGUGAUGGUGACAUAAACACCACCCUAUACCAGAAACCUACUGACUGCUAUACUUACCUACAUGCCUCCAGCUUUUAUCCAGACCACAUCACACGAUCCAUUGUCUACAGCCAAGCUCUAAGAUACAACCGCAUUUGCUCCAAUCCUUCAGACAGAGACAAACACCUAUAGGAUCUCUAUCAAGCAUUCUUACAACUACAAUACCCACCUGCUGAAGUGAAGAAACAGAUUGACAGAGCCAGACGAGUACCCAGAAGUCACCUACUACAGGACAGACCCAACAAAGAAAGUAACAGAACUCCACUAGCCGUCACCUUCAGCCCCCAACUAAGACCUUUCCAGCGCAUCAUCAAGGAUCACAACCUAUCCUGAAAGACGAUCCCUCACUCUCACAGACCUUGGGAGACAGGCCAGUCCUCUCUUACAGACAGCCCCCCAACCUGAAGCAAAUAUUAACCAGCAACCAUACACCACACAACAAAAACACUAACCCAGGAACCUAUCCUUGCAAUAAACCCUGUUGCCAACUCUGUCCACAUAUCUAUUCAAGGGACUCCAUCAUAGGACCUAAUCACAUCAGCCACACCGUCAGGGGCUCGUUCACCUGCACAUCUACCAAUGUGAUAUAUGCCAUCAUGUGCCAGCAAUUCCACUCUGCCAUGUACAUUGGCCAAACCAGACAGUCUCUACACAAAAGAAUAAACGGACACAAAUCAGACGUCAAGAAUUAUAACAUUCAAAAACCAGACGGAGAACACUUCAACCUCCCUGGACACUCUAUUACAGACCUACAAGUAGCAAUUCUUCAACCAAAAAAACUUCAAAAACAGACUCCAAUGAGAAACUGCAGAACUGGAAUUAAUUUGCAACCUGGACACCCUCAAAUUAGACCUGAAUAAAGACUGGGAAUGGAUGGGUCAUUACACAAACUAAAAACUAUUUCCCCAUGCUUAUUCUCCCCCCCCGUUACCCACACCUUCUUGUCAACUGUUUGAAAUGGGCCAUCCUGAUUACCACUACAAAAGUGAUUUUUCCUCCUGCUGAUAAUAGCCCACUUUAAUUGAUUUGUCUCGUUAGAGUUGGUGAGGCAACCCCCAUCUUUUCAUGUUCUCUGUGUGUAUAUACAUAAUCUUCCUACUGUAUUUUCCGCUCCAUGCAUCUGAUGAUGUGGGUUUUAGCCCAUGAAAGCUUAUGCCCAAAUAAAUUUGUUAGUCUCUAAGGUGCCACAAGUACUCCUGUUCUUUUCUCUAUAGCAUGGUCCGGAUUAGGCCAUCAAUGUCAUUUAUCUUCAUGUUAGCCAC